UAUUGGGUUGGCCAAAAAUGUUCAUUUGGGUUUUUCUGUCACAUCUUACGGAAGAACCCAAAUAAACUUUUUUUGGCCAACCCAUUA
rnacentral:miRNA from 1 species